rnacentral:tRNA from 1 species
GCCUGGGUGGCUGAGUGGGUUAAAGCCUCUGCCUUCAGCUCAGGUCAUGAUCCCAGGGUCGUGGGAUCGACACCCACAUUGGGCU